GCCAGACUCCUACGGGAGGCAGCAGUGGGGAAUAUUGCACAAUGGGGGAAACCCUGAUGCAGCGACGCCGCGUGAGUGAAGAAGUAAUUCGUUAUGUAAAGCUCUAUCAGCAGGGAAGAAAAUGACGGUACCUGAGUAAGAAGCCCCGGCUAACUACGUGCCAGCAGCCGCGGUAAUACGGAGGAUGCGAGCGUUAUCCGGAUUUAUUGGGUUUAAAGGGUGCGUAGGCGGUCCGGAAAGUCAGCGGUAAACGCCGGGGGCAAACCCCCGGCGAGCCGUUGAAACUGUCGGACUAGAGACGGCGAGAAGUACGCGGAAUGCGCGGUGUAGCGGUGAAAUGCAUAGAUAUCGCGCAGAACUCCGAUUGCGAAGGCAGCGUACCGGCGCCGGACUGACGCUGAGGCACGAAAGCGUGGGUAUCGAACAGGAUUAGAUACCCCAGUA
rnacentral:rRNA from 1 species